UGCAGAGUGGGCAUGCCGCAUCACAAGGGCCACCCAGAACUGGCUCAACUCCCAUCAAGCCAAGUUCCCGGAGGAGAUCACCCAGCUCAUCAUGCUAGAGCACUUUUUCAAUUGGCUCCCCAACGACAAGGCGACAAAGCAUUCGUAUGUCAUCCAUAUCAACUUUCGAUGCCACUUCCUACCACGGGUAACAGGGAAUCAGGGUUCGAUUCCGGAGAGGGAGCCUGAGAAAUGGCUACCACCUGCAAGGAAGGCAGCAGGCGUGCAAAUGACCAACGCCCGACACGGGAAGGUAAUGACG